rnacentral:lncRNA from 1 species
CGGGCCAAGAACGAGGUGGAGUGGCGGAUGUCGGAGGAGUUGAGCCACGCGGCGGGGAAACUCUGAAGCGGGCAUGCAACUCGAGUGCGCCUGUCGCGGAAGAUCGGGGGAAAAGAUCUCGUGGGUCCACCGGUCAGACUGAAGGGAGGUGUUGGGGGAUGACUCAGAAAGAUCUGGCGGGUGAGUUGGGGUCGGCGGGGUCGGAACUGGAGGCCAGCGGAGAGGGGUCGGGUCUCAGGGGUCGGGACCGGUCAGGAGGUUGAACACUUAGGCUUGGAAAACUAAGGCAGGUGAUCAGGGGCUCGGAUUAAGAUUGACGCGAGAGAAUUGGGGUCAGUCGUCACAGCCUACCCCUCUUAAAAAGAAUCUCGUCCCGAGAUUCAGGUGUAAGAGUAGGGUGUACAGUCCUUACCUCCUUCACGAGACAGAAAACCUGGAAAGUACUUGUUCAAAUACUCGUCUGUUUCCCAUGUUGCUUCAUCCUCCGUGUGGUUACUCCAGAGGAUUUUGUACAUUCUGACCAUUUG